CAGGGAGAAUAGGGAACUGGUGGGGAGGCAAGAUUUCAAAUCACCUGAAUGGUUAGAUAUAGAAGAAUAGAACCCAACUGCUAAAACAGAAAAGGAGAGCUUCAUGUAGGAUCGCUGAAGAAGCCUCGAUUGGAUUUGUGUAUGUUAAUAUUCAUGAAGAACUAUUGGACUAAGCUCUUAAGACAGACAACAUUUGACUCGAGGACCAGUUCCAGGGGAAUUCUACAGGAAUUAGUUGUUGCAUUUAAAUGAAGAUUGCUUUUAAUAAAUUUACUUUUUUCCUCUAAAGGGGAAGGAGAGAAAUCAUGUAAAAAGCAAUAAAAAAAGAUGGCCAAAUGAUGUAUUUCAUAGAAUGAAUUAUCUGUGAGAAUGUAUAUGUGAACAUGGUUUAUUUCCACUGCUAAAAAUAUUGGUUAUUGGACAAAGAUCUCAUAUUUAGAGCACCAACAGAUCAUCACAAUGGAAAAAGCUAUGCACUGGCUUCUAGGCCUAUGUUAACUUGCUGUGUGAUUUUGUUGCUGUUCAAGAGUUUCAUAGCCUGAAGAUAUGAAUUUUGGGGGUUUCACAAGACAUAGGAGCUUUGCAAUGUAAAUGGCAGCACUCCCAAAAUGAGAACUAUCUUCCUUUGAUUCUUCAGUGUUCUUCUGAAUGGUAUCUCAUAACAU